rnacentral:lncRNA from 1 species
UUAGUUUCUUGUUCUCUAACACUUAAAGAGUGUAGAUCUAAGUUUAGAACAAGAUUUGGUUGUUUUUGAGCUAGAUCCACCAUUGUUGUGCCUUGUUUGAAGCUUUUUGAUUUGGGAUUUCGUGUUUCCUAUAGUGGUUGAGAAUUUUUGUUGCUGAUUUUUUGUUUAUUAUGAUUGGCUUGGCAAAGGGAACCUAGAUCUAAGAGAAAAUUUAACGUUGGGGUUCAUUUGCCUUGUGGUCAAACCUUGG